CCCUCCCCUAAAUCACUCCAAAAAAACAAUCCCCAAUUCUACACAAGUGUUUCUACACUAACAAAGCAACAGCUCCUUAACGAAUUCCCAACUUUACACGAGCUCGUCUCUCGAGGUUAAAUGUUAUUACUUGGUAAGAUUCCGGACCUCGCCAAGUGUUUUGAAAACCCGCAACGCUCGCAAAGGUGCAUAGUGAGAAUAAUAAGUGAAGAGACAGACUUGUCCAAAACGCCCACCACGAAGGUGCAUAGUGAGAAGAGUAAGUCAAGAGAUAGACUUGUCCAAAAAGAAACGGAAGAGAAAGCUUGGGGAGACGCUCACGAAGGUGCAUAGUGAGAAGAGUAAGUCAAGAGAUAGACUUGUUCAAAAAGAAACAGAAGAGAAUGCUUGGGGUUACACUCACGAAGGUGCAUAGUGAGAAGAGUAAGUCAAGAGACAGACUUGUUCAAAAAGAAACAAAAGAGAAUGCUUGGGGAGAUAGAAGUGUGAGAUAGUUCUCAAGCUAAGAAAGUUGUAAAAGCUAAGAACUAGCAAGUAAUCGUCCAGGAUUCCUCCACCAGGACUUGAAAUCGUCGAGGGAAAAAAAUCGGUUCCGAGGAAUCGUCGAUCCGGACUUGGAAUCGUCGAGAAAAGUUUACCGGGUCCGAGGAUUUGUCGACCAGGAGUGGAAAUCGUCGAAAAAAAUCUAUCGGGUCCGAGGAAUCGUCGACCAGGACGAGGAAUCGUCGACAGGGUCCGAGGAUUUGUCGACCAGGGGUUGAAAUCGUCGACCAGGUCCGAGACUUCAUCGAC
rnacentral:misc_RNA from 1 species